UGUUCAAAUUUAGCAAGUUCCAGCAGCACUUUCACCCUUGUUCCGUCUGGGCUGCAGGAGUACGAAACGCCACCGCCACUUCAUUUUUCAUCCUUCACAAAGGGGUAGAGCUGUUAGUCAUGCGAGUGGUUGCCUUGGACGAUCCCACACAAGCAAUGCCAGCAGGAUUUCUCCAUGUGUGACUAACUGCUCCUCCUGGGAGGCCAGAGAUUCCCACCAGGAAGGACAGGUGACCUGCUCGUCUCCAUCUGCCCUUUACUGUUCUGGCUACUCUUGUUGAAAUCUGUGACUAAUUCAUGACCGAUGAAACCAAGCUGUGACCAAUACAAAAAAUCUUUGUUAAAACCCUGCCAGGUUAAUCAACAGGCAUUUCUCAGGAGUGCUGCUCAGAAAGAGCCAGCUCUGAAUUCUGAGUAAUCCCAUGGGACAACAUUUCUGGAAGGAGCAUCUCAUCCAGCUUGCCUUGAAGCACACCCACCAUGGACAACACACCUUGUGUCACCUACAACUGGGGGGACAGAGCUUAGGGACGUUUGUGCAACUUUUCCUUCAAUUAUUUGUCCUGGUAGAGAAGAGGCUCAAGCUGACAUGGAGCAAAACCUUUCAAGCUGGUUCAAGAAAAAUCUGGUACCUUGUUUAGUACGAGCUGAGCUUGUGUGUGUACGUGCAUGUGCUGCACAGCAGGACCCCUUUUCUCAUUUAAACAGCCAAUUAAAGCCUACUUUGGCACUUAGCACAUGACAUCAACUUGCAGUACUUAACCUGCCUAGCACAGUGUGAAUUUAAUUUGAUAAAGGGGCAACUAAUAAAGAUCUUGGAAGGCUGGUUAAAGUUCA